UUGGAAAUCAGACCACAUGCCUACUGAGC
rnacentral:piRNA from 1 species